AUCAACAAAGAAGUACCUCGUGAUGUCUGUACUACAAAAUAUUAUGAAGAAGAUACAUGGUCGUGCUCCACGGGGUCCUACAUGGAAAUCACCUAUGUGCCCACAACAAGAUAAUGGAGUUGAUUGUGGAUUAUACGUGAUGAGAUUCAUGCUUGACAUAGCGACUCAUUGUACCAACACCAUACAUCUUGAUGAGG